rnacentral:rRNA from 1 species
GACGAACGCUGGCGGCGUGCUUAACACGUGCAAGUCGAACGGUGAAGCGCCUUCCUUUUUGGUGGGUGUGGAUGAGUGGCGAACGGGUGAGUAACACGUGAGUAACCUGCCCCCUUCUUCUGGAUAACCGCAUGAAAGUGUGGCUAAUACGGGAUAUUCUGGGUCUGUCGCAUGAUGGGUCUGGGAAAGAUAUUGUUUCGGUGGGGGAUGGGCUCGCGGCCUAUCAGCUUGUUGGUGGGGUGAUGGCCUACCAAGGCGGUGACGGGUAGCUGGCCUGAGAGGGUGGACGGUCACACUGGGACUGAGACACGGCCCAGACUCCUACGGGAGGCAGCAGUGGGGAAUAUUGCACAAUGGGCGCAAGCCUGAUGCAGCGACGCCGCGUGAGGGAUGGAGGCCUUCGGGUUGUGAACCUCUUUCGCCAGUGAAGCAGGCCUGCCUCGUUUGUGGGUGGGUUGACGGUAGCUGGAUAAGAAGCGCCGGCUAACUACGUG